UACGUAGGGUGCAAGCGUUAUCCGGAAUGAUUGGGCGUAAAGCGUCCGCAGGUGGCAGUUCAAGUCUGCUGUCAAAGACCGGGGCUUAACUUCGGAAAGGCAGUGGAAACUGAACAGCUAGAGUAUGGUAGGGGCAGAGGGAAUUCCUGGUGUAGCGGUGAAAUGCGGUAGAGAUCAGGAAGAACAUCGGUGGCGAAGGCGCUCUGCUGGACCAUAACUGACACUCAGGGACGAAAGCUAGGGGAGCGAAUG
rnacentral:rRNA from 1 species